rnacentral:rRNA from 1 species
GUAGGGAAUAUUGGGCAAUGGAUGCAAGUCUGACCCAGCCAUCCCGCGUGCCGGAAGAAGGCCCUCAGGGUUGUAAACGGCUUUUGACGGUGAAGAAUCGACAGGAUGCGUCCUGUUUUGACGGUAGCCGUUGAAUAAGCACCGGCUAACUCCGUGCCAGCAGCCGCGGUAAUACGGAGGGUGCGAGCGUUGUCCGGAUUUAUUGGGUUUAAAGGGUGCGUAGGCUGGAAGGUCAGUCCGCGGUGAAAAGCUGUCGCUUAACGAUAGUCUUGCCGCAGAUACUUCCUUUCUUGGAUGAGGAUGAGGCCACUGGAACGGAUGGUGUAGCGGUGAAAUGCAUAGGUAUCAUCCAGAACACCGAUUGCGAAGGCAGGUGGCUGUACCUUAAUCGACGCUGAUGCACGAAAGCAUGGGGAGCAAACAGGAUUAGAAACCCUGGUAGUCC